GUAACAAGGUCUCCGUUGGUGAACCAGCGGAGGGAUCAUUACCGAGUUUACAACUCCCAAACCCCUGUGAACAUACCUAUACGUUGCCUCGGCGGAUCAGCCCGCGCCCCGUAAAACGGGACGGCCCGCCCGAGGACCCCUAAACUCUGUUUUUAGUGGAACUUCUGAGUAAAACAAACAAAUAAAUCAAAACUUUCAACAACGGAUCUCUUGGUUCUGGCAUCGAUGAAGAACGCAGCAAAAUGCGAUAAGUAAUGUGAAUUGCAGAAUUCAGUGAAUCAUCGAAUCUUUGAACGCACAUUGCGCCCGCCAGUAUUCUGGCGGGCAUGCCUGUUCGAGCGUCAUUUCAACCCUCAAGCUCAGCUUGGUGUUGGGACUCGCGGUAACCCGCGUUCCCCAAAUCGAUUGGCGGUCACGUCGAGCUUCCAUAGCGUAGUAAUCAUACACCUCGUUACUGGUAAUCGUCGCGGCCACGCCGUUAAACCCCAACUUCUGAAUGUUGACCUCGGAUCAGGUAGGAAUACCCGCUGAACCUAAGCAUAUC
rnacentral:misc_RNA from 1 species